GCCCUAGGUCUGUACCCUAACGUAACGUAACAUCUUACGAAUUCUGUUCUCAAAUAUUUAUGCUAUCUUGCAUAUUCCCCCUGAUAACAGCCAAGUACUGAAAUCUAAAUACUAGUCACACUCAGUUUACCAAUUAUAUACAUGACAUGUUUGAUCAUUUUUACCAAAGCCAUUACAGUGGACGUGCUGCAUUUUGGGUAACUUGUAACUGAAUGAACUUUAAACAAUGAGAAUUUACUAUUGUGCACAUUGGUCAUACAAACCCAAUACGAAGUGUUCCGUGAAUACCAAGAAUCACUUCUGUGACACAUUUAGCAAAGCAUUUUUCCCUCACUGUGUUAGGUUAAUCAAUGCAAGCCAGAUAACACAAUUCAUUCCCUCAUUAUAUAUUCUACUUCUAUGAGGCAAAGACCAGCACACAUGUUUGUCUCUGCGACUAAUGAGAAUGUCAUUCAUAUUCUUCAUGAUAUGACAGAUCCACAUCAUUUAUUCUUUCAAGUGACUCCAAAAUGGUACAAGACUUCCACCAUUCAGUUCCAGUUAGGCAAAACAUAACAGGAAAAAAGUAUAUGUUAACACACCCAUUUAGUUUGUAGUUAAACGCUUUAUGUUGUCACUCUUGAUAAAGACAUGAUAAAAAAAAAAUCACACUGCAUUAAAACACUUAAAGAUGCUUUUUGGGACCUUUGUUAAACUAUUUUUAAAAACCUUCCAUUUUGGGCUGAAUGUGAAAUGUCUUCAUUUUAUGUGCAUGAUCUAUGCAUAAAAUGCAUAGUGAUGGGAAUUCACUCUUUUCAAUGAGCCUACUCUCGUUCAUCAUAAAAAUGCUUAAAAAUAACUGUAAUCAACUUUAACAAAACAUACACAGUUGAGACAAAUCACCCAGCCAAUGAUCACUAACAUUCAGCCUAAUCAUUUUGUAAGUCUCUGGAAGGGUGCUAUUGGUUUUCUCUCAGGAAGUACUACAUUUAAUGCAAUAUUGGAUCAUUUGAGUUUUGUUACUUUUUUCUCAGUCAGUUUGGACACAUAUCCAAGCACCCCUGAACAUUUUUUUCCCCCUGCUUUCAAAAUGUUUUACAAAAUACAGAAUUGUUGAAUCAAUAGAAAGUGUGAGAAUACAUUUGAGUCAGAAUGUAUGUAUAUCCAUGGGUGAUCAAUGUAUUUUCUAAGUUUCUCUCUUAGCAUUCCACAUGUCUGCUAUGAUACCAAGUUCAAGAUGUUCAUUCAAAAUUAUUUUUAUAAUUGGGUAUUAUGUCUACACAUCAGUAAAUAUGUAUUCUCAAGCUUUGGUUUAUUAACAUGAUGUACAAUAGCCUACUGUACAAAUGAAUGACUCGAGCCUGCCCCCUCUGGGCCAAAGUUAGCUAUAACACCAAGCCUGUACAACAAGGUGCUAUGUAGCGGAAUGCAUUAGGCCAACAUAUUCCCUGAUGAAAGUGCUAUAAAAUAACUGAGAUCAAGUGCUUGUUAGACAAAAAAAAAGCUUGAACAUUGGAGCCAGCUGAUUAACUAAAACUAUCUGCUUGCCCUUGGAAAAACAAUGAAAACCUACCCACUCACUGUUGAGCGUCCACUAAAUGAGUGAAAUUUAAAUGUCAGCAUCAGUUUACCCAUGACACAUGGUGGCUUUACUCUUGUCAUACUUGGCCAUUACAUAUUGCAGCACAGUGAUGCAUUUUGGGUAAUUUUAAGUAAUGGAUCCACAAAAUAGUUAUUCAUCAUGGAGGGUAAUCUGUAGAUCAAUCUGUAAUACAACACCAAUUUGAAGUGCUCCAUGAAAACCAAUAAUCACAUUUGUGAAUUUCAAGAAACAUACAUUUUUUUCCCUUUAUUACAUUCAUCAAUAUUUUACAAGCAAAAAAAACAUAAUAAAGGCCCAAAAUUAAAUAUCACAUUAUACGAGGCAAAGACUAGGUACAUGAUUCCCACAGGACCCCAGAGACAUCAACAGCAGUCCUAGGAAAAC
ensembl:lncRNA